GACUGCCGUAGUGUAACGGUAACACGUCUGACCCGGCUUGUCAGAAGACGUGGGUUCGUAUCCCAUCGCAGGCG